UACAGAGGUCUCAAGCGUUGUUCGGAUUCAUUGGGCGUAAAGGGCGCGUAGGUGGCGGAGCAAGUUUGGUGUGAAAUCCCGGGGCUCAACCCCGGAACUGCACUGAAUACUGCCUUGCUUGAGCACUGGAGAGGGAACUGGAAUUUACGGUGUAGCAGUGAAAUGCGUAGAUAUCGUAAGGAAGACCAGUGGCGAAGGCGAGUUCCUGGACAGUUGCUGACACUGAGGCACGAAGGCUAGGGGAGCAAACGGG
rnacentral:rRNA from 1 species